rnacentral:rRNA from 1 species
CAGUAGCCGCGGUAAAACGGAGGGUGCAAGCGUUAAUCGGAAUUACUGGGCGUAAAGCGUGCGUAGGCGGUUCGUUAAGUCUGUUGUGAAAGCCCCGGGCUCAACCUGGGAAUGGCAAUGGAUACUGGCGAGCUAGAGUGUGUCAGAGGAUGGUGGAAUUCCCGGUGUAGCGGUGAAAUGCGUAGAGAUCGGGAGGAACACCAGUGGCGAAGGCGGCUACCUGGACCAGCACUGACACUGAAGCACGAAAGCGUGGGGAGCAAACAGGAUUAGAUACCCGAGUAGUCCCUGUCUCUUAUAC